UCAGCCUGACCCGGGCACGUUCACAGGACUUGGACUGCUUUCAAAACCUUCCCAGGGACAAAGGCAGAAACCAAACAGACAAAACACAGGAAGCCGAAUCCAUGAGGAGAGAGGGAGGUGAUGAAUGGUCCGCCCCUCCAUGCUCCUCUCCAAGGAGGAUGACUGUAUCCUCCUGUGGGAGCAAGCAGCCUUGCGGAGCGCCAUUCAUGUGUCUCGCAGACAGCCAAUGGAAGCGCGGGGAUUUGGUUCAUAUGCGAGUUUACUGGGUCGGAGUCGGAGCAACAGGGGAGGCGGCGGCCAAUCGGAAGGGCCCGCAACAACUGGGCUGUGUGUUGCUUUUCCAGCCCAGGGAGCCUUAUCUAUGCAGGCCUCCUGAGAAAACGUCGAGACAGAGAGCGUGAAAACUGCACAGUGUACGCCUGGCGAACGUAUCAACAGGGUGAAGCAGCGUUAAAGGCAAACAUCUGAUGACUUUAACAAAUUCAACAAAUGAAAAUAAGUUGGUCGGUAAGACAAUUUCAAUGUUCUACAGCCAAAUGAGUGUAAUCGAGCAAGCUGCUUGCGGGGUGUAGAUGGCACAGAUAGCCUGAAUUUGGUGAAAGUGAUUCAGUCUCCUCAGCUAAAGAAGGACUCCGCGCCAGGCUCAAUGUGGCAGACAGAUGAGUCACGAAGAGUCCCGGAGCUGCACGACAGGCUGUGAAGACGACAGCCAGGAGAGGCGCAGCGAGAGGUUGGACAAAAGGGGAGGACACGAUCGACGAGGGGGGAGAACACCUGUCUGCUUCUUAGAGGAUUUUCUCUUUGAAAGUUUUUUUUUUUUUUUUUUCCCACCCAUGAUGUCAUCUUUAUCCAUUGGCACUUACUUUUGUCUAUGGAAAACAAUGCAUUUCGCUGGCGUCGGGCAGAAUUCUCGCAUCUCUCGAACCAUAACUUUUCAGGAAAACAAUGACCAAAAAAACGGAAUGUUUGUUGAGCCAUUAACAUUGCGUCAUCAAAGAGAGCAAGCCAUUUUCAAGACUUGAGUCAAUCAUUUGUAAAUGUACAUUUCAAAGUCUGUACUUACUUUUUUUUUUUUAUUUGCACUUCUACUUAAGUACCGAGUGUGAGUAAUGUAUGCAUUUUUAUAUUUUUCUCCUCCCCCCACCCCUUAUUUUCUAAUCAGUUGUUUAAAUUGUUUCCCUCUUCUGUGCCGCCCGAUCCGUAGUGAUUGCAUCACUGCCGGAGCUUUGUUUGAGCCUCAUUGGAUUUCAUAACUGUUGUUUGGGACUUUUUACCUCAUUAUGUCUGCAUGGAGGGUGGGGUGACUUUUCUGCAUGAGCGUGCAUAUGUGAGAAUGCGAUUAUGUGCGCUCGUGUGUGUCUGCUCCUUCUAAUCUUAGGGGAAUGUGAAUACGCGUGUUUCUCUCCAGCCUAUGGGCCAACCCAACCGAGGAUUCCCCGCAGGACUAACACACCCUGAAAGCCCCCGUCACAUUUCCCCUGUCUAGCUACCUUUCUUCCUCCCCACACACACAGACAGACAUACACACACAAACACACAGCCUCCCUUUGCCCCUCCUUUUGCCCUCUUUAACCACGACACUUUGAAUCAAGCAGAAAUUAAUGCAGAUGAUGCAUUCACUGUCUCAUUGUCUCCUUCACUCGGCAGAUGGAUAUCGAGAUGACAGCGACAUGGGGAAAACUCCCGAUGUAAAGCUUUUAGGGGCGCUGCGGGGUGUUUGUGCUUCCUGUUAGUGCAAAUGGAAAUAUGUAUUUAGAAGUCCUCAACUAUGGGC